UGAGUAACACGUAUCCAACCUGCCGUCUACUCUUGGACAGCCUUCUGAAAGGAAGAUUAAUACAAGAUGGCAUCAUGAGUUCACAUGUUCACAUGAUUAAAGGUAUUCCGGUAGACGAUGGGGAUGCGUUCCAUUAGAUAGUAGGCGGGUAACGGCCCACCUAGUCUACGAUGGAUAGGGGUUCUGAGAGGAAGGUCCCCCACAUUGGAACUGAGACACGGUCCAA
rnacentral:rRNA from 1 species